CCCACUCGAGUAUUCUUGCCUGGAGAAAUCCAUGGACAGAGGAGCCUGGCAGGCUACAGCCCAUGGGGUCGCAGAGUUGAACACGACUGAGCGACUAACAUUUCAUUUUUCAUCCUCUUUAUCCACUUAUCUGCUGAUGGACACUUAGGUUGCUUCUAUAUUCUGCCUGAGGUCUUGGUAUUGUCUUCUUAUCACUCAGAACUCAAAGCCUGAGGGAGCUCCCCUGACCACCCAGGUUGCCCGGGCACCCUCUCCACCCACCUCCAUCUCGUCUCCUUCACAGGCUUCCCCAGUCCCUGACAGCAUCUCGCUUACAUGUCUGCUUACACAUUACCACGUGGCCCCAUGAUAACGUGAGCUCCUUGAGGACCAGGUUCCACUCGAAGCUUCUGAGACCUGGGGCUACAUGUGUAGGAAGAUGUUGCUCAUCCUAGCUGUUCAGGAAGUAUUACUCACCUGACAGAUUCAGACUCGUAGGUGCCCGAAGGCGACAGCCAGCCCCUCAAGAUAAGAAGAAUUAGCAAACAUUCAAGGGUUGGUGGCAGGAAGCCCCUUGCCCUUGGUGGGGCUGGCUCAGGACACCAGAGGACGGGGACACAGAGGUUGGCAGAGCACCAGGAGCUGCCAGGGUCUCUAAGCUCUGCCAAGAUGAUUUCCUUCAGGGCCAGGGGUGAGAAGGUGACCACUUGGAGCGAGAAGAAAUGCAUCCGUUAAACCCAGUCUCCUGCAGCCGAAGGCAGAGGUGAAGUGGGAAGAGGCCACAGAAAGUUUUCACCAAGCUGGCCCCUAGGCCAGGGCCUGCUGACACUUUACUGGCGGACACUUUUCUGAAAGCCACCCCCCUUGCAUCCUGCAUCCCUGGAGACCCCGUGCACGGCUGUGGGAUGGGAGGAGACCCCUGGAGGGUUCUGAGCCCAGAAGAGACACAUCUAACUUAAGCCCUUAACAGAUGACUCUGGCUACUGUGUUAAUAGAUGAGGAACUUCCAGUGGUUAAGAAUUAACUUGCCAAUGCAGGGGACGCCGGUUCGAUCCCUGGUCCUGGAAGACUGCACAUUCCACAGGGCAACAAAGCCUGAGAGCUGCCGCUACUGCACCCAGGUGCCCUGGAGCCUGUGCUCCGCAACAAGAGAAGCCCCUGCAAUGAGAAGCCUGCACACCACAACUAGAGAGUGGACCCCGCUCGCUGCAACUAGAGAAAACCUGUGCGUAGUAACAAACAUACAGUCAGCCAAGAAUAAAUAAAGAAAUAAAAAAUUAAAAUUUUAAAAAUAGAUGGGGAGGCAACAGUGAAUAGCCAAGAGCAGUUAUGAACGUUUUCCAACAAUUCAGGGCAGAGAUGGUGGUGGCUUGAGCUGGACGUUCACUGGAUGUACAUGGAUUGCCCUUCAUAAUGAAAAGCAAGGUCAGCUCAUGUUCCCUGUGGACACUGUAGUGGAACUAAAACGGCAGAUAUCUUCCAGACACUAAAGUGGGGCGGGUGCUUUUCAUGCUAGCUCACCCAAUAAAAGGAAUAACACUUAUGAAAUGUCUACGAUGUGCCUGCCAGGCACUGCCAGCCUGAGUGGAACAAGUGUGAGAACCAGAG